GCAAGUCGAGCGAGAAGUCUUCUAGCUUGCUAGAAGAUAGACAGCGGCGAACGGGUGAGUAACAUGUUGGUAUCUGCCCCAAAGUCAGGGAUAGCCAUCCGAAAGGAUGAUUAAUACCGGAUAGUCUCUACGGAGUAAAAAUUUAUUGCUUUGGGAGGAACCUACAUUCUAUCAGCUUGUUGGUGAGGUAAUAGCUCACCAAGGCUAUGACGGAUAGUUGGUCUGAGAGGAGGAGC
rnacentral:rRNA from 1 species